UACGUAGGGUCCGAGCGUUGUCCGGAAUUACUGGGCGUAAAGAGCUCGUAGGUGGUUUGUCGCGUUGUUCGUGAAAACUCACAACUCAAUUGUGGGCGUGCGGGCGAUACGGGCAGACUGGAGUACUGCAGGGGAGACUGGAAUUCCUGGUGUAGCGGUGGAAUGCGCAGAUAUCAGGAGGAACACCGGUGGCGAAGGCGGGUCUCUGGGCCGAUACUGACGCUGAGGCGCGAAAGCUAGGGGAGCGAAUGGG
rnacentral:rRNA from 1 species